GCAGUACACUGAUUACUUUUAGCAGGAGGGUGAUAUUGAGUCAUGCGCAGUAUGUCGCGAGACAUGCGGCGGAGCGUUGAAAGGGGUACGUGCGCGCCAGCCAUUGAGCCGCGAUCGUUUAAUUGUCCCGAGCGCCGACGCCGUUGACACUGCGGAAGGCAACACGACGGAGCGCGAUAAUUGCGAGGCCUCCGUCGGCUCGGCGUGGUCGACGACCC
rfam:Burkholderia sp. Bk sc_020, whole genome shotgun sequence.